rnacentral:rRNA from 1 species
UACGGGGGGGGCAAGCGUUGUUCGGAAUUACUGGGCGUAAAGGGCUCGUAGGCGGCCAACUAAGUCAGACGUGAAAUCCCCAGGCUCAACCUGGGAACUGCGUCUGAUACUGGUUGGCUUGAAUCCGGGAGAGGGAUGCAGAAUUCCAGGUGUAGCGGUGAAAUGCGUAGAUAUCUGGAGGAAUACCGGUGGCGAAGGCGCUGCUCUGGGCCGGUACUGACGCUGAGGAGCGAAAGCGUGGGUAGCAAACAGG